rnacentral:misc_RNA from 1 species
GAUGAAGAACGUAGCGAAAUGCGAUAAGUAAUGUGAAUUGCAGAAUUCAGUAAAUCAUCGAAUCUUUGAACGCACAUUGCGCCCGCCAGUAUUCUGGCGGGCAUGCCUGUUCGAGCGUCAUUUCAACCAUCAAGCCCUGCUUGCGUUGGGGUCCUGCGGCUGCCCGCAGGCCCUGAAAACCAGUGGCGGGCUCGCUAGUCACACCGAGCGCAGUAAUACAUCUCGCUUUGGGCGUGCGGCGGGUUCUUGCCGUUAAACACCCCCUUUUUACCAAGGUUGACCUCGGAUCAGGUAGGAAUACCCGCUGAACUUAAGCAUAUCAAUAAGCGGAGGA